rnacentral:rRNA from 1 species
UUGAAAGGGAAACGAUUGAAGUCAGUCGUACCAGCGGGAAAUCAACCUUUCGAGUGGGGGUUUUGGAGUUUUGAAGAGUGUCAAAACCUUUGAGAUUUCAAAAUUUUCGCUCCUUUGGUGUACUUUCUCGUGGGUAGGUUAACAUCGAUUUUGAUCAUCAUAAAAAGAUUGGAGGAAUGUAGCUUCGAUCUUGUAUUGAAGUGUUAUAGCCUUUGGUAAAUGUGAUGAUUAGGAUCGAGGAUUGCAACGAAUACCCUUUUGGGCUAUCCGCCUGAUCUCUGAUACGUGGCCUUGGUAUCGAAAGCUUGCUUAUGGUAUUGAGGUAUUACGGUCAAAAGGUUAGAACGGAUUACAUUCGUUAAGGAUGUUGACGUA